CAUAAGUAUGUCAUUGAGAAAACAGCCUUGACCCGGCGUCAGACGAUCGGGGCAGUUUCCACAGCGACACUGCAUGACACUUCUCGCAGGGCUCGUGGACAUCCGAGACUACACAGCUGGUCAAAUCCUGCUGCGAAAGAGAAAAAAGAAAAGGCUGUGUACACUCCAAAUCCAAAAUGGCCGAGCAAGCGUAUGACGUCAUUGUGAUAGGUUCGGGAGUGAUGGGGUCUUCCACGGCUUACAGUCUCGCCAAGAAGGGAAAGAAGACCCUCAUCCUGGAGCAGUUCCCCGUCCUCCACUCCCGUGGUAGUUCCCAUGGCCUCAGUCGCAUCACCAGACUCGCCUACAGGGAACAGUACUACACCGACAUGAUGGUGGACGCCUUUAAGAUGGUGGCGGAGCUGGAGAGAGAGACAGGAACAGAACUGUUGAUAAACUGUGGUACUCUAAGUAUUGGUCCUGAGAACGAUGAUUACCUACGUGACGUCGAGAAGGCUCUGAACAGGGUGGGUGCUGCGGUCGAUGCCCUCACCAACGAUCAGAUGAGGAAGAGGUACCCCAUGUUGUCGUACCCACAGAACUAUGUCGGGUUGUUGGAUCGGAAAGGGGGACUUCUGAAGGCGGACUGCAUACUGAGGGCUUUGCAGACGGUGUUCCGCCAGCGAGGCGGUGAAAUACGUGACUGUGAGCCUGUGAUGGCCAUCCACCCCGGGGCAACAGUGACGGUGACGACGUCCAAAGGGACGUACCGGGCUGCUAGUGUUGUCGUUGCUGCAGGUUCCUGGGCAGACAAGAUUCUCCGCCCACUUGGACUCAAUCUGCCCGUCACGAUACAGAGAGUGACAGUGUGUUACUGCAAGGAACUGCAUCCAGAUAGCCACUCCGCCCAGCAUCUUCCCUGCUACAUUGAGCACAACGGGAGUCCCCCUUACGACAUGUGGGGGCUGCCAAGCUACGAAUAUCCUGGUUAUGCAAAGAUAGCAUUGCACACGGGCCCCGAGAUCUCGCCCGAAACACGAGACCAGCCAGACGGGAAGUGGGUCACCGAUCGAGUCACGGCAUAUGUAAAGGAACAUUUCCCAGGCCUGGAGCCCACGCCAUCUAUCACAGAACAGUGUAUAUACACGGUGACUCCUGAUGAAGACUUCAUCAUUGACCAACACCCCCAGCACCACAACAUCAUCGUUGCAGCCGGAUUCUCAGGCCAUGGCUUCAAACUGGCGCCAGUCGUAGGAGACGCUCUCAGCGACAUGGCUGUCGGCCGGGUUCCGAAAUACGACAUGAAGCCAUUCAAGAUAGCCCGGUUCAAGACGGCUGCGAGACUAUAGCACUAUGCGUGUAUGCAUUAAGUACCGACCAACUGUAGACCGCUAUAUCGUAUUUCAUCGAGUCGCGUUAUGCAAUACAUAUGCAUAGCGUUACAAUAUUCAGUACAUGAGUAGAUGCAAUGACACCACAAUGGGUGCGAAAGCUUAACCAUUGGCAGUUUAAAUUAUUUUAUUUCAAACCAAAUUUCUCAUUUCAAUAUUUUGUUUAUUUGUUUCGAUCUUUCGAGUUUAAUCUCGUUACUUUGAUUACAUUUUCGAAAAUCGAUUUUUUUUUUGUUAUUUCAAGUUUAUUACAAGAACUUAGGAUUUCAAUGUUUUUCUUAUUGCUUUCACUUUUGUCUCGUCAUUUUAAUUGUUAUUUCGAAAUGCCGGGUUUUUUUGCGUUUCCUUAAUUACUUUCUCGUUUUUUCGAUUACUUUCACACAUAUUCAGGUCUAUGUCAAUAAAUUAUCGGAAUUACGAAAAACAUAGUCCUGUAAUAUUGUUUUUGAAAUUCAAGUACAUGUAAUUGAAAUAACGAGAAAUUGUGGGAUAAAAAAUAUAGUUUAUACCACCAAAGUAAAAAUAUAAUUUAUGCUACCAAAGUGGCACCAUUAGGCCUUGGGGGAUGGUAGAUUAUUUCAACUGAUUAACAAAGAUUUUCCAUGUAUUGUACCACUGACUCAAACUUUCAUUCUGUCCAUCGCAUCAACGGUUACAGCUUAACCAUUCUAAGACGGCCGCCAUGCUUUCAUUAUUUCAGAGUAUUAUGAGAACCCUUUGGAAUCAUAGAUGACUUUAAAUUUUAAAUUUAAGUUUAAGUUUUAAAUUUCUCGGUUGAUACAUACAUGCAUGGACGCGUAUUAGUUACUAAAUAUUAGUAUCAGCUACGUUGAUGUACGUAUAAUCUUCGUAGAUGAAGGUAUCGCCUUUGUAGAUGUAUGUAUCUUUCAAGUAGAUAUUAGUAUCAGCUACGUCGAUGUAAGUAUAAUCUACGUAGAUGAAAGUGUCUUCUACGUUGAUUAAGGCACAAAUACGCUUAUUCAGAUACAUUAUAAUUCAAGCUGUCAACAUUUUUAUGACCUAAAGGAGGAAUUAAGAACUUGACCUUGUUUAUGUUCAAUGACAGCUGGAGGGAGAACAAUGUCUUCACUUUGCCAUCACAGCUACUAGCGAUGGAUAUUAAAUAAUCUCUACUAAA
rnacentral:misc_RNA from 1 species